rnacentral:rRNA from 1 species
AUUGAACGCUGGCGGCAGGCCUAACACAUGCAAGUCGAACGGUAACAGGAAGCAGCUUGCUGCUUCGCUGACGAGCGGCGGACGGGUGAGUAAUGUCUGGGAAACUGCCUGAUGGAGGGGGAUAACUACUGGAAACGGUAGCUAAUACCGCAUAACGUCGCAAGACCAAAGAGGGGGACCUUAGGGCCUCUUGCCAUCGGAUGUGCCCAGAUGGGAUUAGCUAGUAGGUGGGGUAACGGCUCACCUAGGCGACGAUCCCUAGCUGGUCUGAGAGGAUGACCAGCCACACUGGAACUGAGACACGGUCCAGACUCCUACGGGAGGCAGCAGUGGGGAAUAUUGCACAAUGGGCGCAAGCCUGAUGCAGCCAUGCCGCGUGUAUGAAGAAGGCCUUCGGGUUGUAAAGUACUUUCAGCGGGGAGGAAGGGAGUAAAGUUAAUACCUUUGCUCAUUGACGUUACCCGCAGAAGAAGCACCGGCUAACUCCGUG